rnacentral:ncRNA from 1 species
AGUUUUAUUCUGGCUCAGGGUAUUUGUUAUAGGAUUGAUCUAUAUGUAAGAUUUAUUAAAAAGUUCGUUUGCAGUGGGUGUAAUUACUUAUUGGGGUAACCUUGAAUUAGCAUUUUUUAUGUAUUUGGCCGAGUUCGUGCCAGCUGUCGCGGUUAUACGAUAAAAUAAAAUAAAUAUUAUUGAUGGGGAGUAAAUUUUUAUAUAAAGUAGUAUAAAUUUUUGGUGAAAUAUUAUUUAAAGUUAGAUGUUAUGCAUACUUCGAAAUUAGUUUGUAAACUAGGAUUAGAUACCCUAUUAUCCUAAUAGUAAUUGUAGUCAUCAGGGUAGUAUAAUAUAAAGUUUGAAACCUAAAGAAUUUGGCGGUGUUUUAGUCUUUUUAGAGGAAUCUGUCCCGUAAUUGAUAUUACACGAUUAUUUACACCUAAUUUAUGCUUGUAUACCGUCGUCAUUAGAUGAACUUAUAAGAGUAUUUUCAUGAGGCUAAUAAUGGAAGAUGUCAGAUCAAGGUGCAGUUUUUUAGGAUGGGAGAUGGAUUACAAUAAUAAAAUUUAUUAUGAAUUAUAGAUGAAAAGUUUAUAUGAAGGUGGAUUUAAAAGUAAAGUUGUUUUAGAUAAUAAUUUGGUUGGGGCUCUAGAAUGAGUACAAUCGCCCGCGCUCUCAUUAUUUAAGAUGAGAUAAGUCGUAACAUAGUAGAUGUACUGGAAAGUGUAUCUAGAGAA